rnacentral:rRNA from 1 species
UACGGAGGGGGCUAGCGUUGUUCGGAAUUACUGGGCGUAAAGCGCACGUAGGCGGCUUUGUAAGUUAGAUGUGAAAGCCCCGGGCUCAACCUGGGAAUUGCAUUAAAACUGUCCAGCUAGAGUCUUGUAGAGGGGGGUAGAAUUGCCAGGUGUAGCGGUGAAAUGCGUAGAGAUCUGGAGGAAUACCGGUGGCGAAGGCGGCCCCUGGACAAGACUGCACGC